GAAAUGCGAUAAGUAAUGUGAAUUGCAGAAUUCAGUGAAUCAUCGAAACUUUGAACGCACAUUGCGCCCGCCAGCACUCUGGCGGGCAUGCCUGUUCGAGCGUCAUUUCAACCCUCAGAACCCCUUGCGGGAUCUGGCGUUGGGGAUUGGCAUCCAGCCAGCCCCGAAAUCUAGUGGCGGUCCCUCCGCGACCUCCCCUGUGCAGUAGCGAUACCUCGCAGCGGGACAGCGGUCUGACCACGCCGUAAAACCCCCAACUUCUCAAGGUUGACCUCGAAUCAGGUAGGAAUACCCGCUGAACUUAAGC
rnacentral:misc_RNA from 1 species